rnacentral:rRNA from 1 species
UUGACCUACGGGGGGCAGCAGUAGGGAAUCUUCCACAAUGGGCGAAAGCCUGAUGGAGCAACGCCGCGUGGGUGAAGAAGGUCUUCGGAUCGUAAAACCCUGUUGUUAGAGAAGAAAGUGCGUGAGAGUAACUGUUCACGUUUCGACGGUAUCUAACCAGAAAGCCACGGCUAACUACGUGCCAGCAGCCGCGGUAAUACGUAGGUGGCAAGCGUUAUCCGGAUUUAUUGGGCGUAAGGGAACGCAGGGGGGGUUUUUAGUCUGAUGUGUAAAC